AACGAACGCUGGCGGCGUGCCUAUCACAUGCAAGUCGAACGAGAAAGGGGCUUCGGCUCCGAGUAAAGUGGCGCACGGGUGAGUAACACGUGGGUAACCUGCCUCUAAGAUUGGGAUAACUCGUCGAAAGAUGAGCUAAUACCGAAUAAGACCACAGUUCCCGCGGGAACAGGGGUCAAAGGUAGCCUCUGCUUGCAAGCUAUCACUUAGAGAUGGGCCUGCGCACCAUUAGCUAGUUGGUAGGGUAACGGCCUACCAAGGCAAAGAUGGUUAGCUGGUCUGAGAGGAUGAUCAGCCACACUGGAACUGAGACACGGUCCAGACUCCUACGGGAGGCAGCAGUGGGGAAUAUUGCGCAAUGGGCGAAAGCUUGACGCAGCAACGCCGCGUGAGUGAUGAAGGCCUUCGGGUCGUAAAGCUCUGUCGGGAGGAACGAAUGCUCCUGAGGUUAACAGCCUCGGGAGGUGACGGUACCUUCAAAGGAAGCACCGGCUAACUCUGUG
rnacentral:rRNA from 1 species